rnacentral:rRNA from 1 species
AUUCCGAAUUCGUCGACAACCUGGUUGAUCCUGCCAGUAGUCAUAUGCUUGUCUCAAAGACUAAGCCAUGCAUGUCUAAGUAUAAACGUUUCUAUACUGUGAAACUGCGAAUGGCUCAUUAAAUCAGUUAUAGUUUAUUUGAUGGUUCCUUACUACUUGGAUAACCGUAGUAAUUCUAGAGCUAAUACAUGCAGAAAGUCCCGACUUCUGGAAGGGAUGUAUUUAUUAGAUCCAAAACCAGCGCGAGUUGCCCCCGGGUGGCUCGGUUGCUUGGUGAUUCAUGAUAACUGCUCGAAUCGCAUGGCCUUGUGCCGGCGAUGAUCCAUUCAAAUUUCUGCCCUAUCAACUUUCGAUGGCAAGGUAGUGGCUUGCCAUGGUGACAACGGGUGACGGAGAAUUAGGGUUCGAUUCCGGAGAGGGAGCCUGAGAAACGGCUACCACAUCCAAGGAAGGCAGCAGGCGCGCAAAUUACCCAAUCCCGACUCGGGGAGGUAGUGACAAUAAAUAACAAUGCUGGGCUAUCGUAGUCUGGCAAUUGGAAUGAGUACAAUCUAAACCCCUUAACGAGGAACAAUUGGAGGGCAAGUCUGGUGCCAGCAGCCGCGGUAAUUCCAGCUCCAAUAGCGUAUAUUAAAGUUGUUGCAGUUAAAAAGCUCGUAGUUGGAUUUCGGGGCAGCCCGGCUGGUCCGUCGCGAGGCGAGUACUGGUCGGCCGCCCUUCCUCUCGAAAGCCCCGACUGCUCU